rnacentral:misc_RNA from 1 species
GAAAUGCGAUAAUUAAUGUGAAUCGCAGAAUUCAGUGAAUCAUCGAGUCUUUGAACGCACAUUGCGCCCCCUGGUAUUCCGGGGGGCAUGCCUGUCCGAGCGUCAUUGCUGCCCUCAAGCACGGCUUGUGUGUUGGGCUUCCGUCCCUGGCAACGGGGACGGGCCCAAAAGGCAGUGGCGGCACCAUGUCUGGUCCUCGAGCGUAUGGGGCUUUGUCACCCGCUCCCGUAGGUCCAGCUGGCAGCUAGCCUCGCAACCAAUCUUUUUAACCAGGUUGACCUCGGAUCAGGUAGGGAUACCCGCUGAACUUAAGC